rnacentral:sRNA from 1 species
GGCGCUGCCCUACAAGGAGAAGCACAGGAAGCUCAAACUUUGGAACAAAUACCGAAUUUCCAACAUUCCGUCACUCAUAUUCCUCGACGCCACCACCGGGAAGGUUGUGUGCAGGAAUGGGCUGCUGGUGAUCCGAGAUGACCCAGAAGGUAAAACCUCAGCACGUGCACGCGGUCCUCUUAUUACCCAGCCCCGCCUCCUCCAUGCGCCUACUCUAAUCUCCGCCACCGGUAGAGAGAGUGCUCGUAAAAUAGAUACACGUGGGUUUACGUGGCUGGAGAAUGUCGUCUCGGUGAAAUCAUAGUAUUCCCUAGGACAUGGUUUUAAGAUUUUCACAGGGAUCAGAAUGUCCCUCCUAGGGGCUUUAAGAGAUGGACUUUGCCAUAAGAAGCUCCGUUUGGAGGGCCGCGGAGGCUGUGGGAAAGUGGAGAGCUCAGACCCCGGCUUCUAGUGCUGCGUCCGUGGCUGCUGCCCCCUUCACAGUUAGAGGCAGGCUGAGUGGGGUUUUUCCCCUUUAAAAUACUACGCA